AGCAGCCGCAGUAAUUCCAGCUCCAAUAGCGUAUAUUAAAGUUGUUGCAGUUAAAAAGCUCGUAGUUGAAUUUCGAGAUCAAUAUGUUGGCCGUGCCUCGGUACGUACUUGCAUCAUUGAUUUCUCCCUUCUGAUGAACCAUGAUGCCAUUAAUUUGGUGUCUUGGGGAAUCAGGACUGUUACUUUGAAAAAUUAGAGUGUUUAAAGCAGGCUAACGCUUGAAUACAUUAGCAUGGAAUAACGAAAUAGGACGUUCGAUCCUAUUUUGUUGGUUUCUAGGAUUGACGUAAUGAUUAAUAGGGAUAGUUGGGGGCAUUAGUAUUCAAUUGUCAGAGGUGAAAUUCUUGGAUUUAUUGAAGACUAACUACUGCGAAAGCAUUUGCCAAGGAUGUUUUCAUUAAUCAAGAACG
rnacentral:rRNA from 1 species